UGCCCUGAGAACUCCGUUUUGGAAACAUGGCUUGGACAGUUUGUCAGUUGAGUAAAUGCUGAUUAUGAUCCUGUGUCACUUGGAUCCAAAAGAGUUUUGGGCAGUCACCUGGUUCUACCUGAUCUUGAAAACAUUAUCCAUACAAUGAUGAUGAUUGUAACAACCCCAAGUCUGUACAUCAGAAGAAGAGGACCCGG
rnacentral:lncRNA from 1 species